UACGAAGGGGGCGAGCGUUUGUUCGGAUUUACUGGGCGUAAAGGGCGCGCAGGCGGUUCUGUUUGUCGAGUGUGAAAGCCCCGGGCUCAACCUGGGAACUGCGCUCGAAACGGCGGAACUAGAGUUCGGGAGAGGAGAGUGGAAUUCCCAGUGUAGAGGUGAAAUUCGUAGAUAUUGGGAAAGAACACCGGUGGCGAAGGCGGCUCUCUGG
rnacentral:rRNA from 1 species